rnacentral:rRNA from 1 species
CCUACGGGGGGCUGCAGUGGGGAAUAUUGCACAAUGGGGGAAACCCUGAUGCAGCGACGCCGCGUGAGUGAAGAAGUAUUUCGGUACGUAAAGCUCUAUCAGCAGGGAAGAAAAUGACGGUACCUGACUAAGAAGCCCCGGCUAACUACGUGCCAGCAGCCGCGGUAAUACGUAGGGGGCAAGCGUUAUCCGGAUUUACUGGGUGUAAAGGGAGCGUAGACGGCAGCGCAAGUCUGGAGUGAAAUCCCAUGGCUUAACCAUGGAACUGCUUUGGAAACUGUGUAGCUAGAGUGCAGGAGAGGUAAGCGGAAUUCCUAGUGUAGCGGUGAAAUGCGUAGAUAUUAGGAGGAACACCAGUGGCGAAGGCGGCUUACUGGACUGUAACUGACGUUGAGGCUCGAAAGCGUGGGGAGCAAACAGGAUUAGAUACCCCAGUAGUC